rnacentral:rRNA from 1 species
GUGGGGAAUAUUGGGCAAUGGAGGCAACUCUGACCCAGCAACGCCGCGUGAGCGAUGAAGGUCUUCGGAUUGUAAAGCUCUUUAAGUGGGGACGAAGAAAGUGACUGUACCCACAGAAUAAGUCCCGGCUAACUACGUGCCAGCAGCCGCGGUAAUACGUAGGGGACAAGCGUUAUCCGGAAUGACUGGGCGUAAAGGGUGCGUAGGUGGUUUGGCAAGUUGGUAGCGUAAUUCCGGGGCUCAACUUCGGAACUACUACCAAAACUGCCGGGCUUGAGUGCAGGAGGGGCAUAUGGAAUUCCUAGUGUAGCGGUGGAAUGCGUAGAUAUUAGGAGGAACACCAGUGGCGAAGGCGAUAUGCUGGACUGUAACUGACACUGAGGCACGAAAGCGUGGGGAGCAAACAGGAUUAGAAACCCUAGUAGUCC